UACGUAGGGCGCAAGCGUUGUCCGGAAUUCUUGGGCGUAAAGCGCUCGUAGGCGGUUUGUCGCGUCUGUCGUGAAAGCUUGGGGCUUAACCCCAAGUCUGCGGUGGAUACGGGCAGACUAGAGGCAGGUAGGGGAGAACGGAAUUCCCGGUGUAGCGGUGAAAUGCGCAGAUAUCGGGAGGAACACCGGUGGCGAAGGCGGUUCUCUGGGCCUGUACUGACGCUGAGGAGCGAAAGCGUGGGGAGCGAACAGG
rnacentral:rRNA from 1 species